rnacentral:rRNA from 1 species
CUCCGGUUGAUUUUUCCGGACCCGACUGCUAUCAGAGUGAGAUUAAGCGAUGCUUUUUAACGUAGCAAUACGUGGCGCACGGCUCAGUAACACGUAGUCAACAUGCCCAGAGGACGUGGAUAACCUCGGGAAACUGAGUCUAAACCGCGAUAAGUGAGGAUUUCUGGAAUGGUUCCUGACUAAAAUCUAUAUGGCCUCUGGAUUGGACUGCGGCCGAUCAGGCUGUUGGUGAGGUAAUGGCCCACCAAACCUGUAACCGGUACGGGCUCUGAGAGGAGGAGCCCGGAGAUGGGCACUGAGACAAGGGCCCAGGCCCUAUGGGGCGCAGCAGGCGCGAAACCUCUGCAAUAGGCGAAAGCCUGACAGGGUUACUCUGAGUGACUUUCGCUAAGAAAGUCUUUUGGCACCUCUAAAAAGGGUGCAGAAUAAGGGGUGGGCAAGUCUGGUGUCAGCCGCCGCGGUAAUACCAGCACCCCGAGUGGUCGGGACGAUUAUUGGGCCUAAAGCAUCCGUAGCCGGUUCUGCAAGUCUUCCGUUAAAUCCAGCCGCUCAACGGAUGGGCCGCGGAGGAUACUACAGGACUAGGAGGCGGGAGAGGCAAGCGGUACUCAGUGGGUAGGGGUAAAAUCCUUUGAUCCAUUGAAGACCACCAGUGGCGAAGGCGGCUUGCCAGAACGCGCUCGACGGUGAGGGAUGAAAGCUGGGGGAGCAAACCGGAUUAGAUACCCGGGUAGUCCCAGCUGUAAACGAUGCAGACUCGGUGAUGGGCUAGCCUUGUGCCAGCCCAGUGCCGCAGGGAAGCCGUUAAGUCUGCCGCCUGGGGAGCACGGUCGCAAGACUGAAACUUAAAGGAAUUGGGGGGGGGGAACC